AUUGAACGCUGGCGGCAUGCUUUACACAUGCAAGUCGAACGGUGACAGGUUAAGCUGACGAGUGGCGAACGGGUGAGUAAUGCAUCGGAACGUGCCCAAUCGUGGGGGAUAACGCAGCGAAAGCUGCGCUAAUACCGCAUACGAUCUGAGGAUGAAAGCGGGGGACCGUAAGGCCUCGCGCGAUCGGAGCGGCCGAUGUCAGAUUAGGUAGUUGGUGGGGUAAAGGCUCACCAAGCCAACGAUCUGUAGCUGGUCUGAGAGGACGACCAGCCACACUGGGACUGAGACACGGCCCAGACUCCUACGGGAGGCAGCAGUGGGGAAUUUUGGACAAUGGGCGAAAGCCUGAUCCAGCAAUGCCGCGUGCAGGAAGAAGGCCUUCGGGUUGUAAACUGCUUUUGUACGGAGCGAAAAGGUCUCCUCUAAUACAGGGGGCUCAUGACGGUACCGUAAGAAUAAGCACCGGCUAACUACGUGCCAGCCGCCGCGGUAACAC
rnacentral:rRNA from 1 species